GACGAACGCUGGCGGCGUGCUUAACACAUGCAAGUCGAGCGGUAAGGCCCUUUCGGGGGUACGACGAGCGGCGAACGGGUGAGUAACACGUGGGUGACCUGCCCUCCAGCUCUGGGAUAAGCCUGGGAAACGUGGGUCUAAUACUGGAUAUGACUCCACGGUGCAUGUCGUGGGGUGGAAAGCCUUGUGCGGCUGAGGAUGGGCCC
rnacentral:rRNA from 1 species